rnacentral:lncRNA from 1 species
AAAGUAUGUAAUUUUUUUGAUAAAGUUGUGCCUUCAAAUGUUAGAGGUAGCUUUAAGUAUAGGGUUUGUCUAGUGUGUGCCCAUGGGCACAUGCUAAGCGCGGAAAUUUUUGCAUUUGGAUCAUUUUGAUUGGUGUGUGGUUGGUUUACUUGCAGGGGGGGUCCACCAUUAUUAAGAAAUAGGAGCCAAUCAAAAUGAUCUAAGCAUAAAAAUUUUCGCGCUUAGUAUGUGCGCAUGAGCACACCAUAGAAAAACCGUUAAGUAUAAAGUAGUUUCUUGACUGCCCUAAGGUUGAUUAAUGCAUUUGUGGAUGAAAAAGGUUUUUAAUCAUUUGUGAGGUUUUGUUAUGAAUUCUUUUGUUAUUUUUGUCAGUAUUUUUUGGACGCUUUCCAAAAAAUUAAUUAGCUUUUUUGUUGCAUAGUGUUGUCAUAUAUUUGAGUUCAGUAAAUGCUACUAUAGGAAGCUGCGUGAGCGUGAUCUCUUUUGUGGGUGU